GACGAACGCUGUCGGCGUGCUUAACACAUGCAAGUCGAACGGAAAGGCCCUGCUUUUGUGGGGUGCUCGAGUGGCGAACGGGUGAGUAACACGUGAGUAACCUGCCCUUGACUUCGGGAUAACUUCAGGAAACUGGGGCUAAUACCGGAUAGGAGCUCCUGCUGCAUGGUGGGGGUUGGAAAGUUUCGGCGGUUGGGGAUGGACUCGCGGCUUAUCAGCUUGUUGGUGGGGUAGUGGCUUACCAAGGCUUUGACGGGUAGCCGGCCUGAGAGGGUGACCGGCCACAUUGGGACUGAGAUACGGCCCAGACUCCUACGGGAGGCAGCAGUGGGGAAUAUUGCACAAUGGGCGGAAGCCUGAUGCAGCAACGCCGCGUGCGGGAUGACGGCCUUCGGGUUGUAAACCGCUUUCGCCUGUGACGAAGCGUGAGUGACGGUAAUGGGUAAAGAAGCACCGGCUAACUACGUG
rnacentral:rRNA from 1 species